UACGUAGGGUGCGAGCGUUGUCCGGAAUUACUGGGCGUAAAGAGCUCGUAGGUGGUUUGUCGCGUUGUUCGUGAAAACCGGGGGCUUAACCUUCGGCGUGCGGGCGAUACGGGCAGACUGGAGUACUGCAGGGGAGACUGGAAUUCCUGGCGUAGCGGUGGAAUGCGCAGAUAUCAGGAGGAACACCGGUGGCGAAGGCGGGUCUCUGGGCCGAUACUGACGCUGGAGGAGCGAAAGCGUGGGGAGCGAACAGG
rnacentral:rRNA from 1 species